rnacentral:rRNA from 1 species
AUUGAACGCUGGCGGCAGGCCUAACACAUGCAAGUCGAACGAGUGGCGGACGGGUGAGUAAUGUCUGGGAAACUGCCUGAUGGAGGGGGAUAACUACUGGAAACGGUAGCUAAUACCGCAUACCAUCGGAUGUGCCCAGAUGGGAUUAGCUCGUAGGUGGGGUAAAGGCUCACCUAGGCGACGAUCCCUAGCUGGUCUGAGAGGAUGACCAGCCACAAUGGAACUGAUACACGGUCCAGAGUCGUACGGGAGGCAGCAGUGGGGAAUAUUGCAAGAUGGGGGCAAGCCUGAUACAGCCAGGCCGCGAGUAUGAAGAAGGAAUUCGGGUUGUAAAGUACUGGCCGCGGGGAGGCGUUACCCGCAGAAGAAGCACCGGCUAACUCCGUGCCAGCAGCCGCGGUAAUAC